GAUUAACGCUGGCGGCGUGCAUAACACAUGCAAGUCGAACGAUGAAACUUAGUAUACUUCUUCGGAAAGACACUAAGCGGCUUAGUGGCGAACGGGUGAGUAACGCGUGAGUAGCCUGCCUUACACAAGGGGAUAGCCUUUGGAAACGAAGUAUAAUACCCUAUCAAACUAUACAAGCGCAUGCUAUAAUGGUCAAAGUGAUAGCGGUGUAAGAUGGACUUGCGUCUGAUUAGCUAGUUGGUGAGAUAAAAGCUCACCAAGGCAACGAUCAGUAGCCGGCUUGAGAGAGUGUACGGAGACACUGGGACGGGGACACGGCCCAGACUCCUACGGGAGGCAGGAGUGGGGAAUGUUGCACAGUGGGGGAAACCCUGAUGCAGCGAGGCCGCGAGAUUUAGAAGGCCUGCGGGUUGUAAAAAUCUUUUGUAUAGGAAGAGAAUGACAGUACUAUACGAAUAAGGUCCGGCUAAUUACGUG
rnacentral:rRNA from 1 species